rnacentral:rRNA from 1 species
UACGGGGGGGGCAAGCGUUGUUCGGAAUUACUGGGCGUAAAGGGCGCGUAGGCGGCCAGCACAAGUCAGUUGUGAAAUCUCCGAGCUUAACUCGGAAAGGUCAACUGAUACUGUGCGGCUAGAGUGCGGAAGGGGCAACUGGAAUUCUUGGUGUAGCGGUGAAAUGCGUAGAUAUCAAGAGGAACACCUGCGGCGAAGGCGGGUUGCUGGGCCGACACGGACGCUGAGGCGCGAAAGCCAGGGGAGCGAACGGG